GGCCAGUCUGCUUUGCUCAAGGCUAAAUGCCACUGCCCAGUAGGGAGUAGGUGCUCAGCCAGGCAUCCAGUGCACGAUUCUACGCUUUUUCUAGGUACACCCAGAGCUCAGAGAUGUCCCCUUUUUACUGAAGAGACCCAGAAAGAGUGACACGAUUAACAUCACACAGUUUGACAACUUGGUUAAGUGACAAGGUGAUCUCAACCGGAUCUUCAUGCCAGGAUUUCAUCUUUCACUGGGGCUGGAGAUGCGGCCACAACCCUGAGUGGAAAGGAGGUACAUCUAGAGUUCAUGGGGACCAUGGAGCUGGACGAGGAGCUAGUGGUUGCCCCGAGUGAGCCCUGGAUAUGGAAGAGCCACGCCUGCGGGGGGUGGAUUCUCCACAGAAGCAGUAUUGUCACGAAGGAUAUAAUUUGCGUUCAAGAACCAGACCACGUGUAAACAUAAUAAACGUUAGAGACGAGAUCAUCGAGCAGCACUGUAGCGUAUGAACCUCCAGUCCCUUGGAACUGGAAUUCUGCUCUAACUCUGCACUGGCCCACAGCACACUUGGAAGAAAACCGUUCACUGUAUCAGGGGCUUGAGCUCCGACGAGGGGGAUCCUCCAGUCUACUGCCCCAAGUGGCACUGACUGCCAAGAGUCAAGGGAGGCUGUGAGCAGUGACUGCAGACCCACACGGGGACCCCAGAUGUGGGCACGCCCCCGAGGCGCUUACAGAGAAGAAACAGAGACUCCAGGGUUCAUUAACAAGUUCGGCUCAUGCUCUCCUCACCCACACUUCCUAGUGGCGGGUCCUGCGCACAGCCCGUGACGCCCCCCUGCCCCUCCCCACGGCUGGAAGGGCCCGCUGCACUGGAUGACGUCCGCCGGGACCUGCCGCACCCCUGGCUGCAGGGCUGGGUGACCAGAUUCAGCAUCACACGAAGGUGUGUGUGAAAUAAAGUCCUAGCUUCCCUGCUC